GCACCAUCUUAGCCAGGACAAAGGAAGUACUACAGGGAUAUUAUUUAGCCUCUCUGAAUCUCACUUUAAUCUAAACAUGGUAUUAAUAAUAUCUAAUCUCUAAACAUGUUUUGAAUAUUAAAAGAAAUGUUCCUAAAGCAUCUAGGAUUAUACCUGACACCACAAAGCACAUAUAAAUAAUAAUAAAGCAAGCCUGUGUUUACAUCAGCAAUCAAAAAAGACCCCAUAUUUAUAACAAAAUCAUAUCCCUUUUUCCCAAAUUUAUUUCAUAAGCAUUAAGAAUCUUAGAAGCUUCUACUUCAGCCAACCCCAAAAUCGGCACAUGUCUACAUUUCUUUUGUGUUAUUAAGUGAAACAAUCCUCAGAUAAAGACAUUUCAAAGCCAGGGAUAUAUACACAGGGAUUUUAUAUAUUAAGUAGUUUUCCAGGCCGCGAUGUUAAUCCCCUUCAUUAUCUUGAAUACUGAAUACAAAUCUGACAUACCUAGUUUGGGGCCAGUAUUAUUUUUGAGGUUGCAAGAAUUCUGUGCAGGGUGACAUGGUAGAAAAAUAGACCAGCAGGGUUGAAAUAGCAAGAUGAUCUAAGGACAGACCUCUUUUCUAAACAUAGACAUAGUAAAAGUUAAAAUUGAAAGAAUAAAUUAACUUUAAAAAAAUACAUUACUAUUAUUUGUUAUAUAACUAGUUACCUCUCUUCUUGGCUCUACCCUCCUCCAUUAGCAGUAACUCUCAGAUGCAGAUAUAUCACGAAUCUACAUCUUUAGCCUUCACUCUUUGUAGUCCUCUUAUCUUAAUAGUGCUCUGCAGCCUGGACUAUUGCCAAUGUCCAGGUAAAAGGAACAUUAAAAUAGAUACCUGAAUUUUGCAAUGUUAGAUUCUUGUAUCCCUAAUUUACCUACCAUUCUCUUAUUUUUCUUCAUAGUUGAACAUCUUUCUCUCUCCUGUCCCAUCCUACCCUCUCCUGCUCAAAGUACCUGGCUCUCAUUGUCUCUUUCUAUUUAUUCUCUCACUUAACUUAAUUCAAUCUGAAGCACAGAUUUGCUAUUUUCUGAUUUCUAAUUCUGGCAGGAUUGCAUCAUUAAUAAUCAGAUCUUUCUCCAUAUGAACAAGAAUGAAAAUUAUUUUUCUAAGACCACUGUUUUGACUAAAUCCUGGGAUUUAGACUUCUGUAUAGUCUUAACCAGUGCAUAAGGCAGAUCUCCAGUUUGCUGAAAUUUGGACAGUGUUUAAAUUCUAUUGCAUGUACCCACAACUAGUUGUCCUUCAAUUCAUUAUUCUUUGCAUUAUGAGAGGUCAAGAGGAGUUCCAUUGGGAAUCUCAAUAAAUAGGCCUAUUUUAGGAUUCAUGUCUUAGGAGCAAAAUAUAGGGUAAGAAGUCCUAGUUGAAGAAACCAAAACUAGAAUCAGAGAAAUAUGUCUAAAUGAAAAUCCCUGGAAUGUACCAAAGACAGAGCUGAAGGAACUAAGUCAGCCAAUAGCAAAAUGAAGAAUGAGAAUUAAAAUGAGAGUCAAACAUCUCAUCCUAAUAAUGAGAUGUCUGUGUGUCUCAGCCAGUUACUAUCUGUAAAGCCUGUGUGUAAGGAAGAGCCCUGACUUCUGUCCUGGCCAACAGCAAAGAGAUUUAAAUGAGCCAGGAUCCAUAAUAUAAUAUCCAAAAUUAUGUUGUGGUCUAGGAUUCAAUUAAACAUAAUCAUAUAAAGGAGUUCCUUAGAGGCUUAGCCAUUAAGGAUUCAUCAUUGUUACUGCUUUGGCUCAUGUUCAGUCCCUGGCCUGGGAACAUCCACAUGCCACAGGUGCAGCCAACAGUCAACAGAUGCUAACACAAAAUUGACAAAAAUAUUGGAGAAAAAUUCAAUUUUUUAAAAAGAAAAAUAAUUAAAAUACCUUAAUAAGCAAUUACAAAUGCUUGAAAACAUUUAAAAGCCAGGAGUCUCAGCAAAUAUACAGAAGCUAUAGAGAAGAACUAAAUGGAAAUCUGAUUUUUUAUUUUUAUUUUUUGUCUUUUUAGGGCUGCACCCAUGGCAUAUGGAGGUUCCCAGGCUAGGGAACUUACGCCAGAGCCACAGCAACGCUGGAUCCGAGCCGUGUCUGCGACCUACACCACAGCUCAUGGCAACUCCGGAUCCUUAACCCACUGAGCGAGGUCAGGAACGAAACCUGCAUCCUCAUGCAUGCUAGUCAUGUUCCACUGAGCCACAACAGGAACUCCCUAAACGGAAAUUUUAGAACUGGAGAAUAUAAUAAGUAAAAUGAAACUCAGUGGAAGGGCUCAAUAGUAGAAGUGGGAUGAGAAAAGAAAAAACUUAGUAAAGUUGAAGAUCGAUCAAUAGAAAUUAUGCAACCUGAAAAACAGACUAAAAAUAAACAGAGUUUCAAUGACUUAUGGAUGGUAACAAAAGAUUCAUGACAUUGGAGUCCCAGAAGGAGAAGAGAAAAAUAGUGGAACAGAAAGAAAAAAUAAGGUGACAUAAUGGCUGAAAAAUUUUCAAAUAUGUCAAAACACAUAAAUCUACAUUUGGAUCUAAGAAGCUGGGCAAAUACCAACAAGAUAACCCUAAAGUAAUACACAUCCAGACACAUCAUAGCCAAAAUACUCAAAACUAAGACCAAAGAAAUCAUCUUGAAAGCAACCAGAGAGAAAUAAAACAUUACCUGUAAGGAAAGAUAAUCCAGUGAUGAUAGAUUGUGUCUCUAGAUCCCAUGGGAGCCAGAUGAAAGCAGCAGAGACAUCUUCAAUUACUGAAAAAAAAGAAGUUACUUCAGGAUUUUUUAAUAGAGUAAAAAUAUUUCUUAAGGAACAAUGGCAUUUCCAGAUGAAGAAAAACCAAGAGAUUUUAUCAUUAGCAGUCCUGCUGUAAGAGAGGAGAUGUCAGAAAAAAAAAUAAAAGAAAGAGGAGAUGUCACUAGAGGACCUGAGACUUUACAAGGAUCAUAACAGAAGAUUACAGACAACUAUGCACACGUAAAUUUGACAGGUUAGACACAUUGGACCAAUUUCUUAGGGGAUAAAAAACAAAGUACCAAAAGAAUGACUAAAAGAAGUUCUCCAGCAAGAAAGGUAAUGACAAGAGAAGGAAACUUGAAAGAUCAAUACUGGAGAAAUAACAAUGAAAUAGUGAAAACUGUAGGUAAAUACAACAGAUAUUCUUCUACUUUUGAGUUUUCAAAAUUAUAUUAGGUCUGGAGAAAGAUAGUAGAGUAGUAGGACCUGAGGCUCGCCUACUCCCACAAAUACAUUGAGAAGGCAUUUACAUGUAGAACUAUUUGCACAGAAAAUUUGCUAAACACUGACAAAAGACCUUAGGAUUAUGAUAGAG
rnacentral:lncRNA from 1 species